UACGUAGGGGGCUAGCGUUGUCCGGAAUCAUUGGGCGUAAAGCGCGCGUAGGCGGCCAGAUAAGUCCGGUGUGAAAGUCACAGGCUCAACCUGUGAAUGCCGCUGGAAACUGUCUGGCUUGAGUCCGGAAGGGGCGAGUGGAAUUCCUGGUGUAGCGGUGGAAUGCGCAGAUAUCAGGAAGAACACCCGUGGCUAAGGCGGUUCUCUGGGCCGAUACUGACGCUGAGGAGCGAAAGCGUGGGGAGCGAACAGG
rnacentral:rRNA from 1 species